rnacentral:rRNA from 1 species
AUUGAACGCUGGCGGAAUGCUUUACACAUGCAAGUCGAGCGGCAGCGCGGGGCAACCUGGCGGCGAGCGGCGAACGGGUGAGUAAUGUAUCGGAACGUGUCCUGUCGUGGGGGAUAGCCCGGUGAAAACCGGAUUAAUACCGCAUACGAUCGAGAGAUGAAAGUGGGGGACCGCAAGGCCUCACGCGAUAGGAGCGGCCGAUAUCUGAUUAGCUAGUUGGUGGGGUAAAGGCCCACCAAGGCUUCGAUCAGUAGCUGGUCUGAGAGGAUGAUCAGCCACACUGGGACUGAGACACGGCCCAGACUCCUACGGGAGGCAGCAGUGGGGAAUUUUGGACAAUGGGGGCAACCCUGAUCCAGCCAUUCCGCGUGAAUGAAGAAGGCCUUCGGGUUGUAAAGCUCUUUUGUCCGGGAAGAAACGGUUUCACCUAAUACGUGAGACUACUGACGGUACCGGAAGAAUAAGGACCGGCUAACUACGUGCCAGCCGCCGCGGUAAAAC